rnacentral:rRNA from 1 species
GACGAACCGUGCGAACGUUAUUCGGAAUCAUUGGGCUUAAAGCGCGUGUAGGCGGAUUCGUGCGUCUGUCGCUGAAAUCCCCCGGCUCAACCGGGGAACGGGCGCGGAUACGACGAGUCUGGAGGGGCAUAGGGGGACCUGGAACUUCCGGUGGAGCGGUGAAAUGCGUUGAGAUCGGAAGGAACGCCCGUGGCGAAAGCGAGGUCCUGGAUGCCUACUGACGCUGAGACGCGAAAGCCAGGGGAGCGAACGGGAUUAGAUACCCCGGUAGUCCUGGCCGUAAACGAUGGGUACUGGAUAGGGGGCUCGCCGAUGGGCUCCCUGUCGUAGGGAAACCGUGAAGUACCCCGCCUGGGGAGUAUGGUCGCAAGGCUGAA